CGGAGCUUGCUCCACCGGAAAAAGAAGAGUGGCGAACGGGUGAGUAACACGUGGGUAACCUGCCCAUCAGAAGGGGAUAACACUUGGAAACAGGUGCUAAUACCGUAUAACAAUCGAAACCGCAUGGUUUUGAUUUGAAAGGCGCUUUCGGGUGUCGCUGAUGGAUGGACCCGCGGUGCAUUAGCUAGUUGGUGAGGUAACGGCUCACCAAGGCCACGAUGCAUAGCCGACCUGAGAGGGUGAUCGGCCACAUUGGGACUGAGACACGGCCCAAACUCCUACGGGAGGCAGCAGUAGGGAAUCUUCGGCAAUGGACGAAAGUCUGACCGAGCAACGCCGCGUGAGUGAAGAAGGUUUUCGGAUCGUAAAACUCUGUUGUUAGAGAAGAACAAGGAUGAGAGUAACUGUUCAUCCCUUGACGGUAUCUAACCAGAAAGCCACGGCUAACUACGUGCCAGCAGCCGCGGUAAUACGUAGGUGGCAAGCGUUGUCCGGAUUUAUUGGGCGUAAAGCGAGCGCAGGCGGUUUCUUAAGUCUGAUGUGAAAGCCCCCGGCUCAACCGGGGAGGGUCAUUGGAAACUGGGAGACUUGAGUGCAGAAGAGGAGAGUGGAAUUCCAUGUGUAGCGGUGAAAUGCGUAGAUAUAUGGAGGAACACCAGUGGCGAAGGCGGCUCUCUGGUCUGUAACUGACGCUGAGGCUCGAAAGCGUGGGGAGCAAACAGGAUUAGAUACCCUGGUAGUCCACGCCGUAAACGAUGAGUGCUAAGUGUUGGAGGGUUUCCGCCCUUCAGUGCUGCAGCUAACGCAUUAAGCACUCCGCCUGGGGAGUACGACCGCAAGGUUGAAACUCAAAGGAAUUGACGGGGGCCCGCACAAGCGGUGGAGCAUGUGGUUUAAUUCGAAGCAACGCGAAGAACCUUACCAGGUCUUGACAUCCUUUGACCACUCUAGAGAUAGAGCUUCCCCUUCGGGGGCAAAGUGACAGGUGGUGCAUGGUUGUCGUCAGCUCGUGUCGUGAGAUGUUGGGUUAAGUCCCGCAACGAGCGCAACCCUUAUUGUUAGUUGCCAUCAUUUAGUUGGGCACUCUAGCAAGACUGCCGGUGACAAACCGGAGGAAGGUGGGGAUGACGUCAAAUCAUCAUGCCCCUUAUGACCUGGGCUACACACGUGCUACAAUGGGAAGUACAACGAGUCGCGAAGUCGCGAGGCUAAGCUAAUCUCUUAAAGCUUCUCUCAGUUCGGAUUGUAGGCUGCAACUCGCCUACAUGAAGCCGGAAUCGCUAGUAAUCGCGGAUCAGCACGCCGCGGUGAAUACGUUCCCGGGCCUUGUACACACCGCCCGUCACACCACGAGAGUUUGUAACACCCGAAGUCGGUGAGGUAACCUUUGAGCC
rnacentral:rRNA from 1 species